AUUGAACGCUGGCGGCAUGCUUUACACAUGCAAGUCGAACGGCAGCACGGGCUUCGGCCUGGUGGCGAGUGGCGAACGGGUGAGUAAUGCAUCGGAACGUGCCCAUGUUGUGGGGGAUAACUACGCGAAAGCGUGGCUAAUACCGCAUACGCCCUGAGGGGGAAAGCGGGGGAUUCUUCGGAACCUCGCGCAAUUGGAGCGGCCGAUGUCAGAUUAGCUUGUUGGUGAGGUAAAGGCUCACCAAGGCGACGAUCUGUAGCGGGUCUGAGAGGAUGAUCCGCCACACUGGGACUGAGACACGGCCCAGACUCCUACGGGAGGCAGCAGUGGGGAAUUUUGGACAAUGGGGGCAACCCUGAUCCAGCCAUGCCGCGUGAGUGAAGAAGGCCUCGGUUGUAAGUACGUCUUCUAGAUGGAAGGAUAA
rnacentral:rRNA from 1 species